UAGGGAAUCUUCGGCAAUGGGGGGAACCCUGACCGAGCAACGCCGCGUGAGUGAAGAAGGUUUUCGGAUCGUAAAGCUCUGUUGUUAAGGAAGAACGAGUGUGAGAAUGGAAAGUUCAUACUGUGACGGUACUUAACCAGAAAGGGACGGCUAACUACGUGCCAGCAGCCGCGGUAAUACGUAGGUCCCGAGCGAUGUCCGGAUUUAUUGGGCGUAAAGCGAGCGCAGGCGGUUAGAUAAGUCUGAAGUUAAAGGCAGUGGCUCAACCAUUGUAGGCUUUGGAAACUGUUUAACUUGAUUGCAGAAGGGGAGAGUGGAAUUCCAUGUGUAGCGGUGAAAUGCGUAGAUAUAUGGAGGAACACCGGUGGCGAAAGCGGCUCUCUGGUCUGUAACUGACGCUGAGGCUCGAAAGCGUGGGGAGCGAACAGG
rnacentral:rRNA from 1 species